rnacentral:rRNA from 1 species
GACGAAGGGGGGCUAGCGUUGUUCGGAAUUACUGGGCGUAAAGCGAGUGUAGGUGGUUGUCACAGUCAGGUGUGAAAGCCUUGAGCUCAACUCAAGAAAUGCACUUGAUACUAGGCGACUAGAGGACCGGAGAGGAUAGUGGAAUUCCCAGUGUAGUGGUGAAAUACGUAGAGAUUGGGAAGAACACCAGUGGCGAAGGCGGCUAUCUGGACGGUUUCUGACACUAAGACUCGAAAGCGUUGGGGAGCAAACAGG